UGGCUCAGUUGGUAGAGCAUGGUGUUUGCAAUGCCAGGGUUGUGAGUUCGAUUCCCAC
rnacentral:tRNA from 1 species